GUUAUUUUGACGGUAUUUCGUUCCCGCUCAUCCUGAAGAGACGUUUGGGAAACAAACAGAAGACAUUCGCCUUUUUUGAAGUCAGUGUACCAUCAGAAUGACUCUGAAACUGAUAUUUCAAGAUCACAAAAGGUGAAUUUGUGACCGUAGUGAAGUCUGAAGAAAGUUUUAACAGGUUUGAAACGACAUCAAGGUAUCCAGGACGAGGGCUUUGAAAGCUUGUCCUUCGGGACGGGCGGCGCUGGCAUGCACAGGUCAACACGAUGGUGAUCUUGGACUCUAUACUGAAUAGCUCUUCCUGUGGCGAUGGAGGCCGCCGUGGCCGUGAGUAAUCUCAGCCUCCAUUCACCAUCCUUGAUUUACUUGAACCACACCGGCCGCCAACCAGAAGCAUCGCUUUCUCAUGAAUCCACAAUGGGCUUCAUCCAGCCCCUCCAAUAAAUGAUGCCACACACAGUCAGGUUGGUCAAAACAGCCUCAAAUGUGUCGUCUUGACAACUGACCGAAUCGAAUUGAAUGAAUCCACUCACUCUUAAGAUGGGAUUUGGUUCAAAGUCAAAGCUUCACAUUGUAGUAGAGGUCCAGCCCUUUAGACAAAGGUGUGUAAAUCUUUUUCUGAUUAGACAAUAACCAACCUGCAGAUUCCUCAACUCAGUUAAGUCCCUUAAUCGUGCAUAUUUUGCAUGGAAACAACCACUGUACAAAUAUAAAAUAUUUUUUUAUGAAGUUUUUGUAACGUUGCAUUAGUCGGUUGCUUUUUCAAAGCCUUGAAAUGCUAAAUUAACAUGUUUACUACUAUUUACAAUUAUAUUUGAAUAUUUUAAAUACAGUGGAGAUCAAAAUUAGAGAACAAUUUAUGAACACUUGAUUUUUUCAGAAAUAAUAAUCUUAAUUGUUGAAAAUUUCAGGAAUUUUAGAUGUGGCUAUACCAUGUUAGUAGAACAGUGUCUUACAAAAUAACUAAGACACUUCAACAAAACCCCUUUAUUGUGUGGAAAACAUAGUGGUCAAAAUUAGAGAACAGGAAUGAUUGUAGUACAAAGAAAGAUAACAACUAAAAUUUUGGAGGGUUACAGCUGUCAGAAAUUAGUCGGAAGUGUAGAGGCCCUUGCUUUGAAUGACUUCAGCACAUCUGCGGCCGGAAGACAUCACUAGUUUCUCACACUGAGCUGGUGUGAUCUAGGUCCACUCUUCCUCCAGUCUCUUCCACAGUUCGGUGACUGUAGUGGGUUUAACCAUAACCUUGUUGCCAACUUUGAUUCUCCUCUCUUCACACUACAUGCUCCUCAGCAAAGGUGAGCUUAGCCUUUUGAUUCUUUCUACUGAUAAGAGGUUUGGUCACUGCACUUUCAGUCCAAAUGAUCUUAAACGUCGAGACAGAUCCUUACCCGGCUCAGCACUGAACUGGCGAGCAAUUCCAGCUGCAGUGCUGAACCGAUUGCCCAUUGAGAGUCUCUGCAUUAUCUUGUCCUCUCGUGCAUUUGUCUUUCGUGGACGACCAGCCUUUUUGGGGGACUUUAAUUAGUGAAAUUGUAAAGAUGCAAUAUUCAAGAAAUCACAGAUCUGGAACGACCAACUUCUCUUGCUUCGGCUGCUAUUGGCCUUCUGGACAACAUUGCGCAUUUCUGUUCUGUGUCAGAUGCGUCACACGGAUAUAUUGUUUUCGUUCCGAUCAAAGCGCAAACAACAUAGAAAACAUAUCCACAUGGCACAGCUGACACAGAACAGCAUACGCUGUUUACAUUCAGUGGAUACUCUCCAAAAUGGCGCAAGGGUGACCCGGAGGAGACGAAUUGUUGAAUAAUUUUUUUUUCUCUCUUGCGCACAAAAUGUAUUCUCGUAGCUUUUAAGUAAAAUUAUGGUUGAACCCCUGAUGUCACAUGGAAUAUUUUACCCAUGUCCCAUUUUAUCCAUUUUACGUUUCUGGACCUUGAUCAUGUAAGGACACUUGCUGUCUAUGGGAGGGUCAGAGAGCUCACGGGAUGCAUCAAAAAUAUCUUAAUUUGGAGUUCCAAAGAUGAACGGAGGUCUUACGGGUUUGGAACGACAUGAGGUCAUGGCAGCAUUGGAAAAGCCGCGUGGAAGUGACCAGUGCGCUUUCACCUCUCACCGGUCUGAGGCCGGAGGAGCUGCGCCAGGCCGUCCCGCUGAAGGUGACGUGUGUGUGGUCCCGACCGGUCCAAGACAGAGGUUCAGUCCGGCCGCAGGACCGAUCAUCGUCCAGGAAUCCGACAAACACCAGAAACCUCUGUGUAGUCCUGAAAGACUCAUCGACAGGAAAAAACAAGUACAAGCUUGACUUGUAAUUCAGACGACAGCUGGUUUUACUUAAUCAGCCAUUCUGGAGAAAAUCAACAGAAUGUUGAAUUGAUAAAGAAUUGUGGUUUAGAGGAAUAAUCGAUGAUUCAUGAAGGACUCAUGACGACCUCAGUGUUUAUGUUCUCAU